GAUGAAGAACGUAGCGAAAUGCGAUAAGUAGUGUGAAUUGCAGAAUUCAGUGAAUCAUCGAAUCUUUGAACGCACAUUGCGCCCUUUGGUAUUCCUUAGGGCAUGCCUGUUCGAGCGUCAUUUAAACCUUCAAGCUCAGCUUGGUGUUGGGUGACUGUCCGCUUCACCGCGGACUCGCCUCAAAAUUAUUGGCGGCCGGUACAUUGGCUUCGAGCGCAGCAGAAACGCGAACUCGGGCCCGUCGUAUUGGCUCCCAGAAGCUAUCUUCACAAUUUUGACCUCGGAUCAGGUAGGGAUACCCGCUGAACUUAAGCAUAUCAAUAAGCGGAAGA
rnacentral:misc_RNA from 1 species